AGAGCAUCACAUUGUCUAUAGAAUCUGUAAACUGGGGACGUAGUGCACAAUGAAGACAUGCAAGUUCUUUAAAAGUGAUGGGCCAACGAUCUCUCGUUUUUUCACCCUUCAGGCAUUUCAGACCUUUCAGACAUUUUUCUAAUAGUUGCAUGGUCCCCAUAUUGAAUGGCACUUGGAAAAUGACGUGCAGAUAAGACACGCUGGCUAGAUACGUUUUGACAGUUGCAUAAGAAACUGAUUGGGAUAAAUGUCCAAAAAAGUAAAGUAAUUUCAGUCGCAGGCAGCAGAGGUGAACAAGGUGUCACAAUCCCUUUUUCG